GACGUAGGGCGCGAGCGUUGUCCGGAUUUAUUGGGCGUAAAGAGCUCGUAGGCGGCUUGUUGCGUCGACCGUGAAAACCCGCGGCUUAACUGCGGGCUUGCGGUUGAUACGGGCGGGCUGGAGUUCGGUAGGGGAGACUGGAAUUCCUGGUGUAGCGGUGAAAUGCGCAGAUAUCAGGAGGAACACCUGUGGCGAAAGCGGCGCACUGGACCAUAACUGACGCUGAGGCGCGAAAGCUAGGGGAGCAAACAGG
rnacentral:rRNA from 1 species